rnacentral:rRNA from 1 species
GGGGCAACCCUGGCUGGCGAGUGGCGAACGGGUGAGUAAUACAUCGGAACGUGCCCAGUCGUGGGGGAUAACUACGCCAAAGCGUAGCUAAUACCGCAUACGAUCUACGGAUGAAAGAGGGGGAUCGCAAGACCUCGCGCGAUUGGAGCGGCCGAUGGCAGAUUAGGUAGUUGGUGGGGUGAAGGCUCACCAAGCCGACGAUCUGUAGCUGGUCUGAGAGGACGACCAGCCACACUGGGACUGAGACACGGCCCAGACUCCUACGGGAGGCAGCAGUGGGGAAUUUUGGACAAUGGGCGCAAGCCUGAUCCAGCCAUUCCGCGUGCAGGAUGAAGGCCCUCGGGUUGUAAACUGCUUUUGUACGGAACGAAACGGCGCUUUCUAAUACAGAGCGCUAAUGACGGUACCGUAAGAAUAAGCACCGGCUAACUACGUGCCAGCAGCCGCGGUAAUACGUA